GACGCAGCGACGCCGCGUGGGUGACGAAGGCCUUCGGGUUGUAAAGCCCUGUGGGGUAGAACGAACUGGCAUCGGGCUAAUAUCCCGGUGUCUUGACGGUACUGCCUUAGCAAGCAUCGGCUAACUCUGUGCCAGCAGCCGCGGUAAGACAGAGGAUGCGAACGUUGCUCGGAUUUACUGGGCGUAAAGCGCGUGUAGGCGGUCUCGUUAGUCGGGUGUGAAAGCCCCGGGCUCAACCCGGGAAGUGCACCCGAUACUGCGAGACUGGGGUACUGAAGAGGAGAGCGGAAUUCCCGGUGUAGAGGUGAAAUUCGUAGAUAUCGGGAGGAACACCAGUGGCGAAGGCGGCUCUCUGGGCAGAUACCGACGCUGAGACGCGAAAGCGUGGGGAGCAAACAGGAUUAGAUACCCUGGUAGUCCACGCUGUAAACGAUGACGACUGGGUGUUGCAGGUAUUGACCCCUGCGGUGCCGAAGCCAACGCGUUAAGUCGUCCGCCUGGGAAGUACGGCCGCAAGGCUAAAACUCAAAGGAAUUGACGGGGGC
rnacentral:rRNA from 1 species